rnacentral:rRNA from 2 species
AGCCCAAACCAACAAGCUUGCUUGUUGGGGUUGUAGGACUGAACAUUAGAGUUACCAAAGUGCGACGUAGUCGCAACAGUUGGGAAGCUGUGCCAUAGAGGGUGAAAGCCCCGUAGACGAAACGUCACACUCUCUGUUCAGGAUCCUGAGUACGGCGGGACACGUGAAACCCCGUCGGAACCCGCGAGGACCAUCUCGCAAGGCUAAAUACUCCCUAGUGACCGAUAGUGAACCAGUACCGUGAGGGAAAGGUGAAAAGCACCCCGGAAGGGGAGUGAAAUAGUUCCUGAAACCAUGUGCCUACAAGCUGUCGGAGCCCGUUAAUGGGUGACGGCGUGCCUCUUGCAGAAUGAACCGGCGAGUUACGAUUGCAUGCAAGGUUAAGGUGGAAAAACCGGAGCCGUAGCGAAAGCGAGUCUUAAAUGGGCGUAAAAAGUAUGUAGUUGUAGACCCGAAACCAGGUGACCUACCCAUGUCCAGGUUGAAGGUGCGGUAAAGCGCACUGGAGGACCGAACCCGUGUCAGUUGAAAAUGGCUGGGAUGAGGUGUGGGUAGCGGUGAAAUUCCAAACGAACUUGGAGAUAGCUGGUUCUCUCCGAAAUCUCUUUAGGGGGAGCCUUGAGGUAAAGAAUCGUGGAGGUAGAGCUACUGUUUGGACAAGGGGCCCGUCAUGGGUUACCAACUUCAGAUAAACUCCGAAUGCCAUCGAUUUAUACUCAGGAGUCAGACGAUGAGUGAUAAGAUCCACCGUCGAAAGGGGAACAGCCCAGAUCACCAGUUAAGGUCCCUAAAUAUAUGCUAAGUGGAAAAGGAUGUGGAGUUGCAUAGACAACUAGGAUGUUGGCUUAGAAGCAGCCACCAUUUAAAGAGUGCGUAAUAGCUCACUAGUCGAGUGAUCCUGCGCCGAAAAUGUACCGGGGCUAAGCAUAUUACCGAAACUGUGGAUGUGCACUAUGUGCACGUGAUAGGAGAGCGUUCUAAGGGCGGCGAAGUCAGACCGUGAGGACUGGUGGAGCGCUUAGAAGUGAGAAUGCCGGUAUGAGUAGCGAAAGACAGGUGAGAAUCCUGUCCACCGAAUGACUAAGGUUUCCUGGGGAAGGCUCGUCCUCCCAGGGUAAGUCGGGACCUAAGCCGAGGCCGAGAGGCGUAGGCGAUGGAUAACAGGUUGAGAUUCCUGUACCAGUUAACUGCGUUUGACGAUGGAGGGACGCAGGAGGCUAAGCAAACCGUACGACUGGAAGAGUACGGCCAAGCAGUAAGUCAGGAUGUGAGUCAAAUGUUUACAUCCGUGUUGACAAGCUGUGAUGGGGAGCGAAAUUAAAGUAGCGAAGUUGCCGAUGUCACACUGCCGAGAAAAGCUUCUAAGGAGUAGUUAACUGCCCGUACCGCAAACCGACACAGGUAGUCGAGGAGAGAAUCCUAAGGUGAGCGAGA